rnacentral:lncRNA from 1 species
CUGGAAAUUAUGGCUGUUUCAUAAAUCGCUAACGUGCUCAGGAGAUGGAGGCCCAGCUGCAGAGCACAUGAGUUCAGGCUCCUGCCCCAGCCUCAUGUUUCAUGAUGACCUCAGCUUCCUGUGCCGAAUGGGAACCGAUGCGAGUCACCAAAAAUCCUCUGAAAAAAUGUGUAAUGUUUAGGGCUCCUUAUGCUCCAGCCCUCCUACCAUUGGUGAACCGACCUUUUCUCUUGGCUUCAACAAGGACCAGAUGCUCGAACCUCAAGAAUCUCUACUUCCCAAGCUCCAGACUCUGUCCUCUGGUCCUUGGGGAGACAUCUUCAUCUGGGAGUCCUAUAGAUGCCUCAAUGCGUGAGUCCCAAACUGGACUUGUGCCUCACACCCCACAUCUAUGCCUCCUUCUCUCAGUUCUUGUCAUGCUUGUUCCCCUGAUCACCCAAGUCAGAAACUCGAGAGACAUCCUAGCCUCCAAAUUUUUAUUUUUUCACUAUCUAAAUAUUAUCAGUCAACGAGUAUCCAGUUGGAUACUAUCCUAUAGGUAGGUAAUUUAACCAAAGAGUUGGCCUGCUCAUUCUCUUUCAUAACCCUCUCCUUAGGUUGGUGGAAUCACCAUGUACCUGUCUUCCAAGUUAGAAGUCUGAGUCAUCCUUGAUUUCCAUUCUUCCUUAUGUCCCAAGCUCAGUUAUCUCCAUGUUCUAUAAAAUCUGUUUCGCAAACCAGAACUACACUAGUUCCCGUCUAGACCACUCCCAACCCUCUUAACUGUUCCCCUUGUACCUGACUUUUUCCCCUUAAUCCCAACCCCCACACUGCUGCCAGGGAUCUAGCUAACAUAAAAUUCUUUGAAAUUUUUGAGGGACACCUUGCCACCUACAAGUUAACGUGGCCAGCUCCAGAGCGUAAUCUCUCACCUUUCCCAGUCUACUGUCUGUUUCUCCAUCUUCAUCUCCUGCCACGUGCUGCUUUUCACAGCACCAAACAGCUCAAAGUGCUUUGGAAAAACUACGCCACCUCCAGGCAGUCUCUCAGGCUUCGUAUUUCUUUAAUACACACUCCAUCAUCUGGUUAACUCCUCGUCAUUGUCUCCAGCAGUGAUGAUGCCAUUCUGAUAGCCACACAGCCCUCUCUGUGACCUAUACGGUCCUGGGCAUAUCCAUCAUUUCACCUGCUGCACUGAAUUAUGGCAGUUUCUUCAUAUCCCUGUCUUCUCCGUGGUAAGUGAGGUGCUUGUAGGCGGUAUCUUAAUCAUUUUCCUGUCUCAAGGCCCAACUCAGGGCUUGGCACAGGGUAAACAUAAAGAAAUACUCAAUGAGUGAAUGAAUAAGUGAGUGAAUACAGGAUAUUUUCCAGACAUGUUUCAAUGCAGAUGCCUUACCAGGGGGAACCAAGUCAUGCAGAGUUGGUCUCUGCUGGCAUUUUCGGCUCACCUCCCACAACUCUCCCGUAACCAUUCUAAGUUGCCAAUGACUUAAUGGUCAUUCCCUCUUACAUUUUCUCCCUCAGUAAUCUCAUCCACAAUCUUGGCUUCGAUUUCUACCUAUUCUUGGAUGAGUCUCAAAGGUGCAUCUCUAGCCAGACUUCUCCUCCGGGGUCCACAUCUGUUGAGCCAGCUGCCUGUUUGGAGCUCUUACUGGUACCUACAAGUCAAUGUGCCUCACCUCUGAACUGUCCUCUUGCAGGUUCCCUUUCUUGGUAAAUGAUACCACCAUCUGUUCCUGGGAACAGGCAGAAACAGGAGUCAUUCUGGGUCCCUUUCUUUAAAUCUCCCCUCACCCAUCUCCAAUUCAUCACCAACUCUGGAAGAAUUUGCGUCUCAUUUAUUCAUCCAACAGAUAUUUGUGAGACACCAUUUAUGUCCCGGGCUCUCAUGUGGGCCUAGGGAAUUCAAUGGUGAACAAGACCAGUAAGGCCCCUGAUCUCCUGGAGUUUACAUGAGGGAAGAAAUAGUCAACAAAUAUGUCAUUUAACUAGAUAGUAAGAAAUCCUAUCAACACAGUGAAAUAUGAUUGUGACUGGAGGGGAAAGGGCAGUGUGGUAAAAACUGCUGAUUGCCCACCCAAUAUCCACACUCCUUUUCUUCUUUACUAAUAAAAAACCUGAUUUUAUUUGGGGGUAGCUAUGU